rnacentral:rRNA from 1 species
GAUCCUGGCUCAGAAUCAACGCUGGCGGCGUGCCUAACACAUGCAAGUCGAACGCGGUCGUCCCGCAAGGGGCGGCUGAGUGGCGAACGGGUGAGUAACGCGUGGGUGACCUACCUUCGAGUGGGGGAUAACGUCCCGAAAGGGACGCUAAUACCGCAUAACAUCCCGCCUUUGAACAGGUGGAGAUCAAAGCCGGGGAUCGCAAGACCUGGCGCUUGAUGAGGGGCCCGCGUCUGAUUAGCUAGUUGGUGGGGUAACGGCUCACCAAGGCGACGAUCAGUAUCCGGCCUGAGAGGGCGGACGGACACACUGGGACUGAGACACGGCCCAGACUCCUACGGGAGGCAGCAGUGGGGAAUUGUUCGCAAUGGGCGCAAGCCUGACGACGCAACGCCGCGUGGAGGAUGAAGGUCUUCGGAUUGUAAACUCCUGUUGCUCGGGACGAAUAGCUUCAGCCUAAUACGUUGAAGUCUGACGGUACCGAGUGAGGAAGCCCCGGCUAACUCUGUGCCAGCAGCCGCGGUAAUACAGAGGGGGCAAGCGUUGUUCGGAAUUACUGGGCGUAAAGGGCGCGUAGGCGGCCAGCUAAGUCGAACGUGAAAUCCCCGGGCUCAACCCGGGAACUGCGUCCGAUACUGGUGGGCUUGAAUCCGGGAGAGGGAUGUGGAAUUCCAGGUGUAGCGGUGAAAU